rnacentral:rRNA from 1 species
UACACGACCGUACCGCAAACCGACACUGGUGCGCGAGAUGAGUAUUCUAAGGCGCUUGAGAGAACUCAGGAGAAGGAACUCGGCAAAUUGACACCGUAACUUCGGAAGAAGGUGUGCCUUUAGUAGGUGAACCAUUUACUUGGGGAGCCCAAUGAGGCUGCAAAAAAUCGGUGGCUGCAACUGUUUAUUAAAAACACAGCACUCUGCUAAGACGAAAGUCGACGUAUAGGGUGUGACGCCUGCCCGGUGCUGGAAGAUUAAAUGAUGGGGUGCAAGCUCUUGAUUGAAGUCCCAGUAAACGGCGGCCGUAACGAUAACGGUCCUAAGGUAGCGAAAUUCCUUGUCGGGUAAGUUCCGACCUGCACGAAUGGCGUAAUGAUGGCCACACUGUCUCCUCCUGAGACUCAGCGAAGUUGAAAUGUUUGUGAUGAUGCAAUCUCCCCGCGGAAAGACGGAAAGACCCCAUGAACCUUUACUGUAGCUUUGUAUUGGACUUUGAACAGAUCUGUGUAGGAUAGGUGGGAGGCUUUGAAGUGUGGUCGCUAGAUCGCAUGGAGCCAACGUUGAAAUACCACCCUGGUGUGUUUGAGGUUCUAACCUAGGUCCAUUAUCUGGAUCGGGGACAGUGCAUGGUAGGCAGUUUGACUGGGGCGGUCUCCUCCCAAAGUGUAACGGAGGAGUUCGAAGGUACGCUAGGUACGGUCGGACAUCGUGCUAAUAGUGCAAUGGCAUAAGCGUGCUUAACUGCGAGACUGACAAGUCGAGCAGAUGCGAAAGCAGGACAUAGUGAUCCGGUGGUUCUGUAUGGAAGGGCCAUCGCUCAACGGAUAAAAGGUACUCUGGGGAUAACAGGCUGAUACCGCCCAAGAGUUCAUAUCGACGGCGGUGUUUGGCACCUCGAUGUCGGCUCAUCUCAUCCUGGGGCUGUAGCCGGUCCCAAGGGUAUGGCUGUUCGCCAUUUAAAGAGGUACGUGAGCUGGGUUUAAAACGUCGUGAGACAGUUUGGUCCCUAUCUUCCGUGGGCGCUGCAGAUUUGAGGAAGCCUGCUCCUAGUACGAGAGGACCGGAGUGGACGAACCUCUGGUGUAUCGGUUGUCACGCCAGUGGCAUUGCCGAGUAGCUAAGUUCGGAAGAGAUAACCGCUGAAAGCAUCUAAGCGGGAAACUCGUUUCAAGAUUAGAUCUGCCGGGGCCUUGAGCCCCCUAAAGAGUCGUUCAAGACCAGGACGUUGAUAGGUCAGGUGUGGAAGCGA